CUUCUGAUUGUAAAAACUGGGGGACCUCUUUCUUAAUGUCCAGUGACCUUUGUCUUAAGAUUUGGUG
ensembl:snoRNA